rnacentral:rRNA from 1 species
UACGUAGGGUGCGAGCGUUAAUCGGAAUUACUGGGCGUAAAGCGUGCGCAGGCGGUUUUGUAAGUCUGUCGUGAAAUCCCCGGGCUUAACCUGGGAAUGGCGAUGGAGACUGCAAGGCUAGAGUUUGGCAGAGGGGGGUAGAAUUCCACGUGUAGCAGUGAAAUGCGUAGAGAUGUGGAGGAACACCGAUGGCGAAGGCAGCCCCCUGGGUCAAAACUGACGCUCAUGCACGAAAGCUAGGGGAGCAAACAGG